rnacentral:rRNA from 1 species
CCUACGGGUGGCAGCAGUGAGGAAUAUUGGUCAAUGGCCGAGAGGCUGAACCAGCCAAGUCGCGUGAGGGAAGACGGCCCUACGGGUUGUAAACCUCUUUUGUCGGGGAGCAAAGAGAGUCACGUGUGACUCAUUGAGAGUACCCGAAGAAAAAGCAUCGGCUAACUCCGUGCCAGCAGCCGCGGUAAUACGUAGGGGGCAAGCGUUAUCCGGAUUUACUGGGUGUAAAGGGAGCGUAGACGGCGAAGAAAGUCUGAAGUGAAAGCCCGCGGCUUAACCGCGGAACUGCUUUGGAAACUUUUUUGCUGGAGUACCGGAGAGGUAAGCGGAAGUCCUAGUGUAGCGGUGAAAUGCGUAGAUAUUAGGAGGAACACCAGUGGCGAAGGCGGCUUACUGGACGGUAACUGACGUUGAGGCUCGAAAGCGUGGGGAGCAAACAGGAUUAGAUACCCUUGUAGUC